rnacentral:rRNA from 1 species
AGAACGAACGCUGGCGGCAUGCCUAACACAUGCAAGUCGAGCGAGACCUUCGGGUCUAGUGGCGCACGGGUGCGUAACGCGUGGGAAUCUGCCCUUGGGUUCGGGAUAACAGUUGGAAACGACUGCUAAUACCGGAUGAUGACUUCGGUCCAAAGAUUUAUCGCCCAGGGAUGAGCCCGCGUAGGAUUAGCUAGUUGGUGAGGUAAAGGCUCACCAAGGCGACGAUCCUUAGCUGGUCUGAGAGGAUGAUCAGCCACACUGGGACUGAGACACGGCCCAGACUCCUACGGGAGGCAGCAGUGGGGAAUAUUGGACAAUGGGCGAAAGCCUGAUCCAGCAAUGCCGCAUGAGUGAUGAAGGCCUUAGGGUUGUAAAGCUCUUUACCGGAUGAUAAUGACAGUACCGGAGAAUAAGCCCGGCUAACCUCGCGCAGCAGCCG